GACGAACGCUGGCGGCGUGCUUAACACAUGCAAGUCGAACGGAAAGGCCCUGCUUUUGUGGGGUGCUCGAGUGGCGAACGGGUGAGUAACACGUGAGUAACCUGCCCUUGACUUUGGGAUAACUUCAGGAAACUGGGGCUAAUACCGGAUAGGAGCUCCUGCUGCAUGGUGGGGGUUGGAAAGUUUCGGCGGUUGGGGAUGGACUCGCGGCUUAUCAGCUUGUUGGUGGGGUAGUGGCUUACCAAGGCUUUGACGGGUAGCCGGCCUGAGAGGGUGACCGGCCACAUUGGGCCUGAGAGACGGCCCAGACUCCUACGGGAGGCAGCAGUGGGGAAUCUUGCACAAUGGGGGGAAGCCUGAUGCAGCAACGCCGGGUGCGGGAUGACGGCCUUCGGGUUGUAAACCGCUUUCGCCUGUGACGAAGCGUGAGUGACGGUAAUGGGUAAAGAAGCACCGGCUAACUACGUG
rnacentral:rRNA from 1 species